AUUGAACGCUGGCGGCAGGCCUAACACAUGCAAGUCGAGCGGAUGAAGGAAGCUUGCUCCUGGAUUCAGCGGCGGACGGGUGAGUAAUGCCUAGGAAUCUGCCUGGUAGUGGGGGAUAACGUCCGGAAACGGGCGCUAAUACCGCAUACGUCCUGAGGGAGAAAGUGGGGGAUCUUCGGACCUCACGCUAUCAGAUGAGCCUAGGUCGGAUUAGCUAGUUGGUGGGGUAAGGGCCUACCAAGGCGACGAUCCGUAACUGGUCUGAGAGGAUGAUCAGUCACACUGGAACUGAGACACGGUCCAGACUCCUACGGGAGGCAGCAGUGGGGAAUAUUGGACAAUGGGCGAAAGCCUGAUCCAGCCAUGCCGCGUGUGUGAAGAAGGUCUUCGGAUUGUAAAGCACUUUAAGUUGGGAGGAAGGGCAGUAAGUUAAUACCUUGCUGUUUUGACGUUACCAACAGAAUAAGCACCGGCUAACUUCGUG
rnacentral:rRNA from 1 species